rnacentral:lncRNA from 1 species
GUCGGGGGAGUCAACACACUUUGCAAGAGCAGUCCAUAAGCCGACUCACAUUACAAGAGCAGUCCUGCUGGCCCCUUCCAUUUGAAAACCGCACCCCUUCUGAUCACAGAAUUAGCCAUCCCUUAGUUCCGUUAGUUCCGUUAGUUCAAUCACUGCACAGCUGUCAAAGCCGGGUGCCAUAUUACCUGGCACCCCCAUGUGCCGAAGGAAUAUGGUCGGUUGCUCGGUACUGCCACCUCCCCUAGGCGUUCUGCUGCUGCUGCUGCUGCUGCUGCUGUCUGCAAUUGUAGAACGUGACAUGUGUCAUGCGGCCGUGCGCUUAAUUGUCAACUGCAGUAAUUACUGGGUCUUGAUUACUGGUGAUUUUUACCAGCCUGCGGAUGCUGCAACAUUCUGUAGGGCGUAGCUUGCAAAUGGCGNGCGCUCUACCCAUGAGCAGGCCAUUAGCACAAACAGCAUGGGGCUGUAACAUAUCAUAGUAGCUAAUUUACAUGANNN